rnacentral:rRNA from 1 species
UAGAGUUUGAUCCUGGCUCAGGAUGAAAGCAAGCGAUAGGCUUAACACAUGCAAGUCGAGGGGUAACAUGAUUGAAGCUUGCUUCAAUUGAUGACGACCGGCGCACGGGUGCGUAACACGUAUGCAACCUACCUAUAAAUGAGGAAUAACCCGGAGAAAUUCGGACUAAUACCUCAUAGUAUUUAGAAGAGGCAUCUCUUUUAUCUUAAAGAAUUUCGUUUAUAGAUGGGCAUGCGCAUGAUUAGUUAGUUGGCGGGGUAACGGCCCACCAAGACAACGAUCAUUAGGGGUUCUGAGAGGAAGAUCCCCCACACUGGUACUGAGACACGGACCAGACUCCUACGGGAGGCAGCAGUGAGGAAUAUUGGUCAAUGGACGGAAUUUUUUACCAGCCAAAUCGCGUGAAGGAAGACUGCCCUAUGGGUUGUAAACUUCUUUUAUAUGGGAAUAAAGUGCGCUACGUGUAGCGUUUUGUAUGUACCAUAUGAAUAAGGACCGGCUAACUCCGUGCCAGCAGCCGCGGUAAUACGGAGGGUCCGAGCGUUAUCCGGAUUUAUUGGGUUUAAAGGGUGCGUAGGCGGGAUGUCAAGUCAGCGGUGAAAUCUUCUAGCUCAACUAGAAAACUGCCGUUGAAACUGAUAUUCUUGAGUGUAAACGAGGUAAGCGGAAUGUGUCAUGUAGCGGUGAAAUGCUUAGAGAUGACACAGAACACCAAUUGCGAAGGCAGCUUACUAGGAUACAACUGACGCUGAGGCACGAAAGCGUGGGUAUCGAACAGGAUUAGAUACCCUGGUAGUCCACGCAGUAAACGAUGAUUACUAGCUGUUUGCGAUAUAUUGUAAGUGGCUAAGGGAAACCGAUAAGUAAUCCACCUGGGGAGUACGUUCGCAAGAAUGAAACUCAAAGGAAUUGACGGGGGCCCGCACAAGCGGAGGAACAUGUGGUUUAAUUCGAUGAUACGCGAGGAACCUUACCCGGGCUUGAAAUAAAGAGGACCGACCCAGAGACGGGUCUUUCAGCAAUGAUCUCUUUGUAGGUGCUGCAUGGUUGUCGUCAGCUCGUGCCGUGAGGUGUCGGCUUAAGUGCCAUAACGAGCGCAACCCUUGCCAUUAGUUGCUAACAGGUCAUGCUGAGGACUCUAGUGGGACUGCCACCGUAAGGUGUGAGGAAGGUGGGGAUGACGUCAAAUCAGCACGGCCCUUACGUCCGGGGCGACACACGUGUUACAAUGGGGGGGACAGCAGGCAGCUACCUGGCGACAGGAUGCUAAUCUCCAAACCCCUUCUCAGUUCGGAUCGGAGUCUGCAACUCGACUCCGUGAAGCUGGAUUCGCUAGUAAUCGCGCAUCAGCCAUGGCGCGGUGAAUACGUUCCCGGGCCUUGUUCACACCGCCCGU